GCAGAAGUGACCGCCACUGGCUCGUGCACAGGCGGAAGCGGGGGAGGGCGGGGGACGCCAGGCCUAAAGCGCCUCGUGGGUUUAGAGAACUCAGAGAGGGCACCGGGUGGGGGUGGGAAGAAGACUCAACCCGUAGCUAAAUGUUUGGCCUUUGGCUAUUUUUUAAGGAAACGAAUCUCAGGGAGGUCGGGGCGCGGGGGAUGGGGGCAUCAUCGCGCCUCGGAGAUGGGAAGCGAGUUCCCCUCCGCUUUCUGGGAAAAGCCUUGUCUCCCUUCUUUCCCCUCCCCCCAUCCUGCUGAGGGUUUGCGUUGACCCAUCUCUCCGCUCGGGACCGGCAGGAGGACGGAGCCGCAGGGGCUGACCGCGGCCCAGAGGCUGCCCAGGGGUCGCGCUGCUGCCGGCCUGCGCUUCCGCACUCCCGGGUUCGGUGCGUCGCCUCUCGCGGCAGCGCCUCGCUUCUUCCAGACUGUAAUUCCACACUCCCGCAAGCGCUGGGGCUGCGGAAUCGUUUGAGGGAGUUGGAACUGCAUCAGAUGAGCACGCCGGGAGACACGAAAAUUGGACACGUGGAGAAUUAGCCCUGCUGGAGAAGCGCUGGGUGCAGACUCAAACAAUGGUUUCCAGCGCCGAAGCUGAGGCAUCACCUUCCCCACCUCCACCCUCAAAUGGCAGCUGCCUCUAUAUACAGCGGGCACACCCCUUCACUACCCACCCCCUCCCCCAAAGCCUGGUUAGGGACCUAUGUGGGCUGCACGCUCUGGAGCCCCUUGCCCGGACACAAACCCUAGGUGGGCCUGGGCUGCCCGCUGAGUAGCUCAUUGCGCCUGGGAUCCCCUGGGAUUUAGAAGUAUAGGGCUCUCUAUUUUUCCCUAGGAAGGUCCUGUCUCAAAGAUGCCACCCCCAAAAAUUAAUGUGUAAAAACCCAACCAAGCUCCAGUCUCUGUGUCCUUUGGCAAAUCUAUCUUUCCUAGGGCAUACUUUCCUAAGCUGCUGGGACCUUGCCCCCCAUCUGAUGAGCCAUACGCAGGUGGUCUGGCCUCUUCAGAGCAGCUUCCUUUAGUUAUUGUCUUCUCCAGAGGCCCCAUCCUCCACGGCAGCCCUAAUCUUAGCCCCCCAGCCUCUCUGAGCCCCCAUCCCACCCCCACACUGCGCUGAGCUGGCAGCAGCCACAGCUCCCCCAGGCAGUUCCUCUCUCACUGCGCGGCCUGUGCAUCUCGCUGGGGCACACACUCCGCACAGAAGCUCCCUCGCCUCCUGGAGCUGGUUUCCUCUUACAGGCUCCCCUUAGAGCUGCUGGUGCUGUGACAACGCCUGCAUCUCUGUGUCUCCCUGCAGCGCUGCGAGCUGUGAAUCUGCCUUCUCUUCCCUUCCUGCAAAGGUCAAGCUGCCUCCUUCUCUCGCAGGGCCGCAGUUCAGUUCUGGCCUGCAGAGCUUCUACACUGCAACUUGAAUAUGGGAAUGGGGUGGGCAUCGUGCAAGGGAGCAGUCACACUCAAGCCAGGAGGCAGGGACAAAAGGGUGUGCGAUUCAGGGAGGGAAACACUGAGGACAACCCUCAGAAAGCAGUGCAGGAUUUGCAGCUAAAGACUCAAAAGAGGGAGAGAAAACGAGGAAAAGGCUGUUACUAGGUCGUGAGUCCUGAAGUGUAGGCCUUUCUCCUCCCACCCCGUGGGUUGCCCUAGGGGAAGGCCAGAAGAGGCCUCAGGUGUCUGCACUGUGUCCUGUGCAGUUCCUAGGGCCAUGCACUUCCGGUGAGGCUGCACUUUACUCCAAGCAGGAGUCAGAAGCAUGGAAUUCAGUGGCCGCAGGAGCUCAAGUCGGCUGCAGCCCUUUCAAAGAGGGACCCCGAAGAGGCCUUUCUGCCACCCCAGCCCCAGAGAGGCUAUGAGGCUCUACAAGCAGCAGAGAGAAUGAUACGGAGAAAAAUGAGAGGAAACGCUAUUAAACUUGCUUCCUCUAAAGAGCGCUACCCACCGUUUUCUCUGAACUGUACCUAAAAAGUCAGGAGAGAACUCGUUAACUUUUGUUUGGUUUAACAUUGCCAGCUUCAAGUCAACCGUAGGCCCCCCGAAGGUUUUGUAAAAUAUUUAAUCUAGCUCAGACAAUUUCCUGCAGUCCCUAACCAGACCACCCCACUUACUGAGCCGCUGCCAAAAAGGAUGCUUGACUGCAGACUGGCAACCAGAGGCCUUCCAGUCGCCUGGCUGGCCUUGACCUCCACUCGAGGCGCCAGGAAAGACCCUUCCCGGAAUCCCGAGAGACCAAGACCUGGGUAAUCCUGGAGGUCUAAACCCGUGAGGAAGCCCAAGAAAUGGAGUUAAAGACCCUUUUCGCACAACCGAUUGUUGUCUGUGUGACCUUCUGCGGCCCUUGCCCUCUCUGAACCCUCUAAAAUGGGCAUGAGGAUGUCUCACCUUCCUCUGGGUGUUAUGCAUUUUGAAGCGUGGGCACUAUGGGAGAGGCUGACGCUCUGUGUUCCCCAGCGCCCUCCACUCCCACCCCUUCACUGUUUUCUUCGACAUUAUCUCCCUAGAGAACACAGCAAGCAGGAGCGGGAUCCUUCGACUCGGCUGACUCUCAACUCCUUCCAAACGUGAGGCUGACGGGGAGAACUCCUGCUCUGCCCAGUUUCCAUUCCCGCCUCCAGAAUAACGAGCCGAAAACAUGUGUACUGUAAAUAAAGCCUGUCUAAAUAAAGCACUCGGGUAAAGGCU
rnacentral:lncRNA from 1 species